CUGGGAAAUAUUUACGGUGUGUGGUUUAUUAGUGCAAUAUAUUUACUCUAUUCUCGUCCGCUGCGCCCCAACAAGUCACGCCUCCACUGUAACACAUGAUCACCGGCGGUAACUUGCUCUGUUUUACACAUUCAGAUUCCAGAGCACGAAUCUGGAAAAUCUGUUCAUGUUUUCUUCAUGAGCAUGGUGCAUGGAUCUCUUCACUGUAUUCACAAAUAUGAAUCUGGGAAAUUUAAUUUGUGCAUGUUUUGUUCAUGGGAAAACCCAAAAUCAAGGUGUGAAGGUUCAAAUCGGAAAGUUGUAGUAAGUUGAUUUGUUGGGAGGGUGUUCAAGAUUCUUCGUUUUAUGUUAUUGUACAAGAGCUUUCGGAAGAAAAUGAGGUUUGAACCGUGUAUACUAGUAUUGUACGACCAAUUGAUUGACCAUUAUGAUUCAAAACAAAAACUUAUUGAUGGUUAAAGGCUUUUAUAUCAUUAAGAAAACAUUGCUUCGUUAUAUACAACUCAAGCUAUUUGGGGAAUAUUCUAAGAUUGCUUUUAAUAUUAUUUAUUAAUAAACACUUUAUUUAUUGCGUUA
rnacentral:lncRNA from 1 species